rnacentral:tRNA from 1 species
GGGAAUAUGGCUAAGUGGUAGAGUACUUGCCUAGCAUGCAUGAGCCCUGGGUUCAAUUCCUCAGUACCA